GCUAUUUCAGCAGCUUAAGCGCCAAUGUAGACUCUCCUUAGACGUCUCCGUCUCCGCUGUACAUCAUGCUAGAGACACCCUAGAUGGUUCCUCUAAACAUAUCACUUGAUAGGUGUGGCGAAUAAAUGCUAUUGAAAGUAGGAGUGCGAAAAUUCACCUCAUCUGCUUCAAUGUAAACUUCACAUGAAUUUCUCCUUUUGCGAUUACAACAUUUUCUGUCUAUUUUCUUUCUGCAGCAGCUUCUAAACACGACAGUCGGCAAUCAACACAAUCGAACGACGACGACGACGACGACGAUCCUACGAGAGAGCGUCUAUGUGACUACUGAACCUACAUGAAAUAGUAACCAAAUAUUCCUCCAACUACGCCCCACCGCUGCUGCCUCUUUAAGCAAACUAUGGUGUUAGUCUUGAUACUCAUUUAAAAAAAUAGUCUGGUCAUCUUUUAUCUUUUAUCUUUUACUUAGACUGCGGCCAUGCUGAGGCAUCACUUUGGAGUAUAUUACUCAAAUAUAUCGACCCCAAUGCUUUUAAUUCUGGUAUUAUUUUAUUGAAUCCGUUUGACAAACCACUAAGUUACGGAGUUGUGAACAAACCAACACCGGUUGUCAAGCGGUAUUGUGUACAGACAGUUACAUCCACUUACAAGCACAGGGACACACACAUAUAUACAUAUACAUGACAGACUUUCACAGUUUCCGUCAACCAAAGUCACACACGGGGCUUUGAUCAGCCUGGGGCUAGAGUAAAAGAUACUUGCUCAAGGUGCCAUGUAGGAGUGCAUCUGAAACCACGUGGCUGCAAAACGAGCUUUUUAGCCAUACGGCCAUGCGUGUGCCUAAAAUUGCUGAAAUCCUUUUGGAAUUCAUGUGGCUGGACCAGGGAAUGAAGAACAAUAACACCGCUAAAAUCGGCACUACAACUACCACAUCUGCGCCAGCAAGAACGAAAACAUUUUUGCUAAAAUAGUAAAUGUCUUAACAUCAUCCGACAGUUUCAGUCACGAUUGAUUCCCCUUUAACUUCAAUUUCUCACCCCUACCCUUCCACCGAAUGACGUUUUACAAUCACUGUUUCCCAUGUUUUGCAAAAGCAAAGUUAUAAUCGUUCUCAGAAUAUUGUUUUGAUAUAAAUUUUAAGUGGUGAGUGGAUAAGUUGAUACCAUCGACCCCAAUACUUGACGGGUUCUUUAUUUUAUCAACUCUGAAAAGGUGAAAGGCAAACUUUACUCCAGCAGACUUUGAUUCAGAAUGUUAAGAGCCGGAAGUUCUACAAAGAAUUUUCUCCAAGGCCCAAUCCAAAACCUUGAAGAUUAUAAAAACGAACUAUUUAGGACGAUACAAACAAAGUUCGGUAAGGAUUUAUAUACGUGUAAACAAUAAAAAGACAAUAACAACAAAAUUUCCAAUAGGGGGAGUAACAAUUAGGGGCAAAAAUGGAACCCCACAGAUCCUGAAAUACCCCACCAUAGGCAGGCACUUUUCUUCCAACCGUUCUCUUCUGUCUACAGGCGCGGGCUCAGUGCGGGCUCGCUUGAGCCAUUCUUGCACUUUCAACAAAUGUACUGGGAAAGCAUACAAAUAAUGAAAUUAUAUUGGACCAUGGUUCAUUAUCAGUCAUGUUUCUACUCACAGACAACACAAUGUUUAACUAAGAUUUUUUUUCGAAAAUGUGUUUAGAAUAUAAGUAUUGUACCUGAUUUAAAUAUUUUAUUUCUAAAAAAAUUCCCAUCAUCUAAUCACGAGAAUCCUCACAGCAGCUCUUUGAUAUUUCCUGCCUCUGUUGAGUCCACGACACCCUUAUGCGAAUGCUUAUGCCAAAGUUAAAAACCGUAGCUCAGAGUAGUGGCUCCACCUACAAGCUCUCCAUUGUAUAAUCAAUAGUGGCCCCAUCGUUGGAAUUUGAACUAAGAAUGUAAAUGGACAAGUGCAUGUUCUAUGCUAGAAAGUUCUGGAAAUCCACUGGAAUGAUGAAAGACAAAGUUGAACUCGACAGGAUUUGAACGCAAAUCGAAGAGGACCAGAGCAAAUAACUAGAAAGCAUUUUUAACCUGCACUCUAGCGACUCUACCAAGCCCGCACCUUAUAAUAAGAAAUUAUUGCGAACGUAAUACGCAUACGGACGCGCGUCUUGUGGGCGAAGGAAAACUCAGUUAAAUCGACCCAGGUAAAUUACUGGUAUUCCUUAUGCCGACAUUCCUCCACAAGUCGUAUUGUUGAAGGGCACAAGAAGACACAGCGAUGAUAAAGAUGAUGAUGAUGGGUGACACCAACGACGCCGACCAUGACACAAAGUCAAAACUUUACACGCCCAAAUUGGACUCCUUCGAUGAAGUAACAGAAAAAUAUGAACUUUCUGAGAAAAAUUCCAAAAAUUUGUUCGAAACAAGAACAGGAUGAAAAACAUCGUUAGCAGCUUCUGAAAAUUAUAAGCGUUUGAAGUAAGAAUUGAUUGAACAUAAAAAUCCAAAGUUAAUAUGUCAUGAAACUCCUAAGACUAUAAACAAUUAAGGAAAAAUUCAUUCACAUGGCGGGAAUAUGAAGCAGACUGAGAAGUUCAAGAAAAAUACGAUCGUUCACUCGUUAUCAACAAGAAAGUUGGCUGUGAUUACUGCGCCAAACCUGAGUGCAUGAGCAUUAAAAGAAUCGACGCUUUAUAGAAAAUCUGAAAUGCUGAAGUAUCGUAAAAAUAUAAAGUCGGCCAGUAUGCAUCUAUUUUUCAUUAAAAGUACAUUGUAUAUGUGUAAUGUAAUUGAAGCAACGCGAAGAGAUUGCAGUUAC